rnacentral:rRNA from 1 species
UACGUAGGGGGCAAGCGUUGUCCGGAAUCAUUGGGCGUAAAGCGCGCGUAGGUGGCCCUGUAAGUCCGUUGUGAAAGUCAAAGGCUCAACCUUUGAAAGCCGAUGGAUACUGCAGGACUAGAGUACGGAAGAGGCGAGUGGAAUUCCUGGUGUAGCGGUGGAAUGCGCAGAUAUCAGGAGGAACACCAAUAGCGAAGGCAGCUCGCUGGGACGUUACUGACACUGAGGCGCGAAGCGUGGGAGCGAACAGG